rnacentral:rRNA from 1 species
UACAGGGGGUGCAAACGUUGCUCGGAAUCAUUGGGCGUAAAGCGCACGUAGGCGGUUCGUUAUGUCGGAUGUGAAAGCCCUUGGCUUAACCGAGGAAGUGCAUCCGAAACUGGCGAGCUAGAGUACGAAAGAGGAUCGCGGAAUUCCCGGUGUAGAGGUGAAAUUCGUAGAUAUCGGGAGGAACACCGGUGGCGAAGGCGGCUUCCUGGACCAGAGCUGACACUGAGGCGCGAAAGCGUGGGGAGCGAUCCGG